GGCGGAAGCCUGACGCAGCGACGCCGCGUGGGGGAUGACGGCCUUCGGGUUGUAAACCUCUUUCGACCUUGACGAAGCCUUUCGGGGUGACGGUAGGGGUAGAAGAAGCACCGGCCAACUACGUGCCAGCAGCCGCGGUAAUACGUAGGGUGCGAGCGUUGUCCGGAAUUAUUGGGCGUAAAGAGCUCGUAGGCGGUCUGUCGCGUCGGUCGUGAAAACUUGGGGCUUAACCCUGAGCUUGCGGUCGAUACGGGCAUGACUGGAGUUCGGCAGGGGAGACUGGAAUCCCUGGUGUAGCGGUGAAAUGCGCAGAUAUCAGGAGGAACACCGGUGGCGAAGGCGGGUCUCUGGGCCGAUACUGACGCUGAGGAGCGAAAGCGUGGGGAGCGAACAGGAUUAGAUACCCUGGUAGUCCACGCCGUAAACGGUGGGCGCUAGGUGUGGGGGCCAUUCCACGGUCUCUGUGCCGCAGCUAACGCAUUAAGCGCCCCGC
rnacentral:rRNA from 1 species